rnacentral:piRNA from 1 species
UCCUAACAGGGAAGUCACAGAGCUCCUAACU